UUUCAUUUCUGUUGUGUUCCGCAGAAGAAAGAAAACACACAGGUUUGGAAACAUGAGAGCUGUGAUGCUCAUGUUUCUGCACCAGCCUAUCGAAUAUAGGAGAAAGUGGGGCAAGGGGAUGAAAGGAGGGGAAUGAGGUGUUCAAAAACCCCUCGACUACUCGUUUUCUACCCGAUUCAUUCCAAAAAAGAGUGAAAAACCUCACUAGGACAUCUGACAAAAGGCACAAACACUUGACCUGAACGCCAGUCCAUCGAAAGCAUCAGCUCAAGAAGAUGGCAUGUACCAGCUGCUAUGGAUGGUCACAGAGAACUUUUUUCAAAAACUAUAGUUUAUACUGCUGUUCAUCCAAUACUAAAUGAAAGACACUUCUGAGAUCACAGCUCAUCCAGACAUGAAAAUGAGAACAGCAGCACAUGCCUCAUUCAUCUGUGAUCCCUCCAGUUAAUCCACUUCUACAAAGAGAUUUAUUUUCUUUAUUUCAUUGUUUAUAAGACAGAAGUGAAACAAGCUAAAACUAAAAAUUGAUGGUGCUUGUUUAUAAUGGCACCUGACAAUUUAGUUAUAAUUCAGUGGAAAUAACAGCAAUAAUAUCCAUGUGUUGAAAGGAUUUAAAAUACUGUGUUGAAUUUAUUUGCUAGGAAUAUCAGGCUUUAAUAAUUAGGUGCUAGUUCAAAAAAAACUUCACAUUCUUCAAAUUUUCUUUUUGAAAAUGCUUUCAUUCUGUUUUAUUUCAUGUGGCACUGUUUGGCCUUUAUAGGAAGCGCAAUGCAUUCAGAGCAGUUUUCAUGGCCAAUAAAACAUCUUUCAAACCCAAGAUUAUAUGGCAGACAUUUACUUGCUAUCAUUUGAGUAGCUUACCUAAAUUGUCCUCUUUGGGUUAAGAGUAAGAGGUACUUUAAAAAAGGAAACUCGUGAGCCGAGACAGACACAAAUUGUCAGGUUUAUAGCAUGGCACAUUAUCUUGAUAUACUCGGCACAUUCCAUGCAUAAUAUCCUGAUGUCAAACCCUGCUUCAGAGUCCUGAAAUAUUACCAAAGAGAAAACAUAUCAGAGAUUUAUCCAAAGAUUAUCUCAGCACUAUUUUGCCUGCUCAUGCACUCAGUAAAUAUAUGCUAUGUGCCCCAAAAGGGGAAUUAUUUGAAAGAAUGCCAUGACAGACUUUUAAAUGUGUGGUCUGGAUAUCUUCAUUAAGAUAGGAGGGUUCUGGCGCCUGUGGCUGUCCAGGAUGACGUUCUGUCACCUGAUACCUAAACCACAAUCAGGGGAGCUAUAGAGUCACAGCAGGAUGUAGCUGAAUUUCAAUUGCAAAUCUCACCAUUUUAUCUUCUUGUCUGUGAUUAUGUAAAUAAAAAAUGGUUUUAGUGAA